GAUGAAGAACGUAGCGAAAUGCGAUACUUGGUGUGAAUUGCAGAAUCCCGUGAACCAUCGAGUCUUUGAACGCAAGUUGCGCCUCAAGCCAUUAGGUUGAGGGCACGUCUGCCUGGGCGUCACAUAUCGUUGCCUGAUGCCAGUUUCCUCGUGAUGGGUGACUGUGCAGGGCGAAUGAUGGCUUCCCGUGAGCAUUGUUGCCUCAUGGUUGGUUGAAAAUUGAGUCCUUGGUAGGGAGCGCCGUGAUAGAUGGUGGUUGAGUGACGAACGAGACCCAAUCAUGUGAGACCCCUACCGAAUUUGGCCUUCAUGACCCACAUGCGUCUUUCGAACGCUCAUGACGAGACCUCAGGUCAGGCGGGGCUACCCGCUGAGUUUAAGCAUAUCAAUAAGCGGAGGA
rnacentral:misc_RNA from 1 species